UGUGGCAUCUAUUGCCGCUGUGAAGUGGAGGAAGCAUCUUCAGAUCAGUUGAUAGCUUAAUAUAUGUCAGCAGGAUGUUUAUUGCCUUUGGAGAUUCAUCUCAAUAGCAAUUCAUAUAUUCUUGUGAUAUAUCUUCAUCUUACUUGACUAUUAAGACUCUCUUUUCUUGUCUAUUAACCUAUGUUCUCCCUCAAAUUUUGCAGACUGGAAAAUUGUUCGCCAUCAUGAAAGCUGUUCGGCUCUGUUCCGCAUUUUUUGUCAAAAGGAAUUAAGGAACGCAACCUCACUUUCUCAAUCAGAGAUUCGGACUGAUAACUUUGGAGAUUAUGAAGUUUCCUUCAAAUUAUUUCCAUUACUCAACCUCGAGUAGAACCUUAGAACUAGGGAAAAGGGAAGGAAGUGUACCCUACUUGGAAUAAAUUCAAGCAUGUAAGGAAGAAAUCCGAGUGAAUGGAAAGGACAAAUAAAGGAAAAAUUCCACUCCCACCUUAUAGAGACAGGAUAAAAUUGUAAUUGUGAGGAGAGGCAGCAAGCGCUGCAGACGGAGCAGGAAGCGCUUUUUGUUCAUGGAGCACUCGGUCUCCUGGUAGACUUUAAAGACGAGAUGAAAUCUUUCUUUCUGAUCAUAAGUUGUGAACUCAUGGUCAAAUGGCUUCCGAGGUGGGCUUCCCCUUCUCUAUGGUAGUACUGCGUCUAUUGCCACUAUGAAGCUGAGGAAGCAUCUUCAGAUCAGGAUGAAAGAUGACAAAAAAGUGACUUGAGAAAGGAGGAUGCGGUAUAGAGUUGCACAUGUUCACCCUUGUGCUUUGAAAAUAUGUACAAUCUUAUUGUCCUUCGAAAUGCGGAGUCUCUAAUAGAAUAUCCAAG